UACGUAGGCAGCGAGCGUUGUUCGGAAUUACUGGGCGUAAAGAGUGUGUAGGCGGUGCUCUAAGUUCGGUGUGAAAUCUCCUGGCUCAACUGGGAGGGUGCGCCGGAAACUGGAGUGCUUGAGCGUGGGAGAGGAAAGCGGAAUUCCUGGUGUAGCGGUGAAAUGCGUAGAUAUCAGGAGGAACACCUGUGGCGUAGACGGCUUUCUGGACCAUAGCUGACGCUGAGACACGAAAGCGUGGGUAGCAAACAGG
rnacentral:rRNA from 1 species